GCCAAUGUGUAUACUUCGACGCUCUGCACACAGAUGGAAAAGUAGUAAUGACCUUGAAAUCUCUCCUGUGACUUGCUGUGGAUGAAAGUUUCAUAUAUACUUCAUCUAACCAGGUUUCUUUUCUGACUUUUUUGGCUCAAGCACAAUACUGACUGAUGCUAGUAGGAGAGCCUCUGAGCCCUCGGUGUCCAGCUCUGGGUCAUAUCACUGCUACUAAAUAGGAUUCUAGACCUUGAAUUUUUUCAAAUUCUGACCACCGGUUUCCCCUCUUUUAAAUAAGUAGGGUGACUCUCUCAAAAAACAAAGUUUCUACAAUUUCUUCUAGGUCUGUCUUUAAUUCUCAUGAGUUAAGUAAAAUCUAAGAUUGUGGGUGAAAAGCCCAGGGGCCACAGCCAACAUGCCCCUAGGCAGUGAAUGCCUGAGACUGUGUGAAGAAAUGCUUAACAGAAAACUAAGAUCCAUGGCUCCAAAUCAGGUAGAUCAGAACUCUUGCAACUCUGCCUCCUCGCUGUUUCUACAUUCGUAGAGCCUUUUCAGUCCCUCUUUCCAAGACCUGCUAUUCUCCCUAAAGAUUAAUUCUGUAGAAUAGUAAAGUUGUGCCUACAGGAAAGAAAUUACCCAUAAACAGUGAUUUGACUCUGCAUAAGAUGAAUCUGUUAACUCUCCACACAGAUACAAACCUAAAAUGAGGUCAUAAAUAAUGCUUCAGUUUGAUAUGAACAUGUUAAAGAUUCAACUCAUUAUCUAAUAAAUCUGGGCUGUCUUGAUGAGUAGGUGUUGGCUGUCUUUAAAAGAAAGUUUAAAAUAUAGAACUAUUUGCUUCAGAGUUUAUGGUUAAACCAGAAAAUCUACUUAUAAUUAGAGUCCUUUCCUAUGAAUAAUAGCCAUUAUCUGUGAAUCGCAUGGGAAUUUUCCCUGAGACUUUUAUUUUCCAAAAAGGUAACUUUAGAUUUGAGCUCUGUGUGUAUCAAUUUCCAAUGGAGGAAAAAGGUAAAAACAGAAUGCUCCAAAAUGUGGGACAUAUCAGAACCCCACCAAAUGGAGUAUCCAUUCACUCAAAUCUUACUGGAAAUGGUAAAUUUACAUGUAAUUGUGAGUUAAUUGCAGAGGGGUAAACAUAACUCAUAAGACCAUAGGCUAACAGCAGUUCUUGUAACACCAAUUCCUUUGAUCUUAAGUUAUAAAGCAUUGAGACACAUACAGUAGAAAGGCAACCAUCUAAACAGUCUAGUCAAUGAGUAAAGGGACUCACAGAUAAUCUUACCAUGGUGAUUAAUAUUUACCUACUGUUGUUUAAAAAGAGAAGGAAAAAUUCUAAAAGUUUUUGUGACUAAAACAGUACUAUCAAACAUAAACUUUAAUAGUUAUGGUCAAGUUGUGCCCCCCCGAAUACACUCAAAAUACAGACUUGAUUUUUCUGUGCACAUUUUGCAAAUUGGGGCGGCAAUCUUUUUAUCACAUUCUCUAAAAUGAAAAACAAUAAAAAGAAAUUUUAUGUGAAAAUACCUCUGAAAGUCAUUUGUUUUACUAAAUUCCUGAGAAACAGAUUUGGAAUUUUUAAAACUACCUCCCUUCUACAUCCUAAUGACCUUCCUUCAAAGCUGCUUAUAGUUAGAAAUGAAAGAUACCACAUGUUAUGUUUGGACUGGUGUUUGAUGGAAUAUUUGAUAUACUUUUCCUGUGACACUCCUAACUCUAUUAUUUUACCCUAUUUUUGCUUUUUGUGAUCCAAAACCUAUAUAUGCCAUAUUGAAAUACAUAAUCCUCUUGUUGUAAAAUUUAUUAUGUAAUACAAGUAAAAUCAUUAUUUAAUGACUUAUGCUCUAACCAUAUCUAAUUUCAAUAUAAUUGUGUCUAUGUAAAGUGAAAUUAAAUAUAUGUAAUCAUGUAUGUAAUCAUAUAUUUCUGUUGAAACUGUGAAUGUACUGAUUUUCCCUUUAAUCUUUGUCUACAAGUGAUAGUAUAUGUCAUUGUAUAACUGACUUGGGGUACUAAUGUGUUUAAAGUACAAUCCACCAAUUAUUGAAAUGUCAACCUUUUGGCUUCGCUUCUUGUGAUCCCAGAGCGUUCUUUGCACCUUGAGACUUGCUUUUGUGCUUUUGUGCUCUGUCAUUAAUUUUAAACAAUGUAAGAAUCUCUUGUAUAAACCAAAGUAAUCAGAUGCAGCCCACUGAGUGAUCAUGCCUUCUGUAAAGCCAUACUGAAGCACAGACUCCGCUGUCGCAUAAGGUCCCCUCUUUCCAGAGCUGCCACUACCUCGCUCCUGCUCUUUCCCUACAAAUUGCCAAGCUAAGUUUACCCUUAAGUGGAAAAUUAGAAUUCAUCGCUAUUGUUACCAUUUUUAACCUGAUAAUAAACCUUCUAAUUCAUUACUUUGCAGAUAUAUGCUAGGUUUUAUGAAUAACUAUUUUUACAUCUUGGUAUUUUGUAGACUUUGGCUGAUGAGUAAAGUACAGAAAGACUAUACAGUAAGUCAUCAGAUUUAAAAGAAAAAAGUCAUAGAGUGCAGGUAUUUUUUUCCUAUCAGUGAGUCAACUCAAGAUGGUUGGCCAAAGCAAUUACAACCUGGGUCCCUAUAUUUGAAGCACCCAAUUCAGUGCCUGGCUCUAAGAUGUUUAUCCCCUUUGCCUCUCUUGGUUCUAUUUUUUGUUGCUGUUGUUUGAAAUGCAAAUGAACAGAAUUACA
rnacentral:lncRNA from 1 species